GCCCCUGGUGAGUGUUGAUGUCUCACCGCAGAGCGAUCAGUAGGACUGGGUGACUAAAUUCCAGGAAAGCUCUCCGAGGAAUGCUCUGUCCUGGCGUGGGAUGUGCAUGGAGCACCCUGUCUUGUUAAAGCUCCAAGCAGAACUUGGCUGCAGUCUGCAACAUGUGGAGUGGGCUUCCUAAAGCAGCAGGGCCCUUGACCCUGGGGCCAGGAGGUAGGUGGGGCCUGGGGUGAUGCUCUCACAGCUAACCUGUGAUCUGAUCCAGGGCAGGUGCAGGGCAGGGCCUGACUGAGGAGGUGAAAGAAGGGGUGGGGACCAGGCUGUCUGGCUGAAUGUUCCCAUGAAGGGGCAACACACAUUGAACUGCCUGGGGAUGGGCCUAGGAUUCCCAUGGGUCUGUGAACACCUGUUCCAGGGCCUUGGCCCUGGUGAGUUCCCUGCCUGGAUGCUUUUUGGUGCCACAGGUCAGCUCUUCCUGCUCACUCAGCCAUCCAUCUUCCAGCUUCUGUACAUAGUCAUCUCAAUCUCAGCCUGGUUUAUUCCUUAGUUUGCUGUUGAUCAGAGCCCUGACCUGGAGGGCAGAGAGGCGCCCUUGCCAGUGACCGCAGCCC